AAGCACCACUGAAAUACCUCCAGAAAAGGAUCUCGGGGGGUGGAAAAGCAACUGCGAAAUAGCAGACGGAGAAAUUCCUUUGGAAGUUAUUCUGUAGCAGAAGAGCAGAAACUUCAGAGCAAGUUCUCAUUGGGCAAAAUGGGGGAACAACCCAUCUUCAGCACUCGAGCUCACGUCUUCCAGAUUGACCCAAACACAAAGAAGAACUGGGUACCCACCAGCAAGCAUGCAGUUACUGUGUCUUAUUUCUAUGACAGCACAAGAAAUGUGUAUAGGAUAAUCAGUUUAGAUGGCUCAAAGGCAAUAAUUAAUAGCACCAUCACCCCAAACAUGACAUUUACUAAAACAUCUCAGAAGUUUGGCCAGUGGGCCGAUAGCCGGGCAAACACUGUUUACGGACUGGGAUUCUCCUCUGAGCAUCAUCUUUCAAAAUUUGCAGAAAAGUUUCAGGAAUUUAAAGAAGCUGCUCGACUAGCAAAGGAGAAAUCACAAGAAAAGAUGGAACUUACCAGUACACCUUCACAGGAAUCAGCAGGCGGGGAUCUUCAGUCUCCUUUAACACCAGAAAGUAUCAAUGGAACAGAUGAUGAAAGAGCACCUGACGUGACACAGAACUCAGAACCAAGGGCUGAACCAACUCAGAAUGCAUUGCCAUUUUCACAUAGUUCAGCAAUCAGCAAACAUUGGGAGGCUGAACUGGCUACCCUCAAAGGAAAUAAUGCCAAACUCACUGCAGCCCUGUUGGAGUCCACUGCCAAUGUGAAACAAUGGAAACAGCAACUAGCUGCGUAUCAAGAGGAAGCAGAACGUCUGCACAAGCGAGUGACUGAGCUCGAAUGUGUUAGUAGCCAAGCAAAUGCAGUGCAUACCCAUAAGACAGAAUUAAAUCAGACAAUACAAGAACUAGAAGAGACGCUGAAAGUGAAGGAAGAGGAAAUAGAAAGAUUAAAACAAGAAAUUGAUAAUGCCAGAGAAUUACAAGAACAGAGAGACUCUUUGACUCAGAAACUCCAGGAAGUAGAAAUUCGGAACAAAGACCUGGAGGGACAGCUGUCUGACUUAGAGCAACGUCUGGAGAAAAGUCAGAAUGAACAAGAAGCUUUUCGCAAUAACCUGAAGACACUCUUAGAAAUUCUUGAUGGAAAAAUAUUUGAACUAACAGAGUUACGAGAUAACUUGGCCAAGCUACUAGAAUGCAGCUAAGAAAAGGGCCCUUGCAGGGGUGUUCCUUUGCGAGGGGGAUGAGGGAAAGAAAGGGAAGAGGCUCAGAUGAUUUCACCUGCUGGGUUGCUACAGAGAUCAGUCUGGUCGUCCAGUACGCCAGUCAGAAGUUUAAGGUGCCAAUGGACUAGCCAGAUGGAGAUGUGAGUCUGGAUGGAGCUUAGAAGAAAUAUAUGAACUGGAGAUCGAUGCUUGGGAGCUGUCAGCAUACGUAAUGGUAACUGAGGGCGUGAGAAAUGAGAACACAAGAUAGAAGUGUCACUUCGGGGCAGGUGCAGCACAAAAGCUUGGGAAAGAGACAAGCAAUGGCCAGGAGGGGUGAGUGGAUACACAAAGAGUAGGGACUCAUGGAAGCCUAGAGGAGAGUUUCAAAAAGUCAGAUUUCACACAAAAACAAAGCAACUCAUUUCUUAAGGCAUUGAUAUUCAAACUGUGUUGAAACCCUUUGUUAACAUUUAACCUUUAAAUAUAUUUUAACUGAAAAAAAGUAAAAACCGACCAACUCAAAUAUGUCUCUUAUAACAUGUUAAAACACGGAAAUCCAGCAGACAUCAGUACCAGGUUAACUGUUUUUGUGCAGAGGCCACAGUAAGGCCAUCUCGAUACAUUGAAGAGCAUCUUUGUAUUUCAAGGUGAGUUAUUAAAUAACUCCAUUUCCUAGUGUGAAUUAGGACUUUUUUGAUACUUUGCAACUGAAACAAAUACAGAAAUAGGGUCUACUAAGCUCACGUCACUGUUCCAUAAACCCAGUCUCAAAUGCUUGUUGUUUAUGAAAAUAACUUCACUUUUCUUACUGACUUAUUGAUUAAAUUAAAUGUCAUGCACCACCUUUUCUGUUACUGUGUUUGUUUUCCAUGUAGCUGUCGUUUCCAAAAGGUGGUUGCGAUAGAGGGCCACAGAUGAAAGGAGGUAGACACUUUCCUAGUAGAACUUGGCUUAUUUUUCUGUGACUCCCUUGCCUCUCCUCAAAGUCAAGUUCUAGGGGCUGAAAUGUAUUUCCUGCAUCUUGUUUAAUGUAUUAUUUGGAUGCUUAACUCAUUACUAGGAACAGGUGGUUUUGUGUUUACAUUGCUUUGGGAAGUUUAGAGAGUUAAUACUUAUGUUAUCUUAAAUGACCUUUAUUCUUUUUUUUCAUACUGAUUCGUAAGUAACUGUAUACAAAUUAUUUCUGGUAGACACGAUCUUAAACAAUGACAACAACAACACUCUGUGUAUUUGGUUUCAGACUGUGGUAUGGUGUUUGACUUUUAUUUCUGGUUGAAGUUAAAAUUAGCUUGAAUUCCUUGACUAGACACAGCUUGCACUACCUGGGCAACAAAUGAGCAUGUUAGACAUUCCAGGAAGAAAAGAGGAGCUACUGUUUUUCACAUAUGGCUCCAAGUGAUCCAUAAGAUUUGCAAAUCAUUUGUGCAUUGUGAAAUAAAUUCUAACUUUUAAACCAUUUUUGUUCAUAUUUUUCUAUUUACUGAUUAAUCUUGGUCUCCUUUAGCAGAACCCUUAGAGUAUACUCUGCAUUGAAAUCCCAUGGUAUAUUUCAAAGUAUAAAGCAUAGAACUUCAUGAUCUGUGGCACACUGCCAUCUCACAACAGUCAACAACAAAUUUUCACAACAAUGUCAUGACCUAAAUGUUACUGUUCUCCCCGCUUUGUAGAUUUUACAGAGCCUGAGAUUCCGCAACAUUAAGUGAUUGGCCAAGUCCAGAGGCCACCAAGGAGUAGAAUGCAGGCCCUGUACCUGCUAACCCUGUACCCAUCCCACUCCAUC